rfam:Gaeumannomyces graminis var. tritici R3-111a-1 unplaced genomic scaffold supercont2.6, whole genome shotgun sequence.
GGUUAUAUAGCGCAAUGGUAACGCGCUUGCUUUUAUAACAAAAGGUUUUGGGUUUAACUCCUGGUGCAACCU